rnacentral:rRNA from 1 species
UGUAAAGUUCAAGCUCCGAUUUGAGGGCGAAACCGCGAAUGGCUCAUUAAAUCAGUCAUAAUCUACUUGAUUGUUUUUCAAGUUAUAUGGAUAACUGUGGUAAUUCUAGAGCUAAUACAUGCGUAAAGGGGGCGACUCUCGCGAGGGAGAAGCUCUGCGUUUAUUAGUUUAAGACCAAUGGGUAUCGCAAGAUACUCCAAAUGAAUGGUGACUCUGAGUAAAUAAUGGCUGCAAGGCCAUGAUGCUGACCUGGCAUACCAAAUCGUCGCAAGGCGAGCCAGGCGAAUCAAUCGAGUGUCUGCUCUAUCAACUGUGGAUGGUAGGGUAAUUGCCUACCAUGGUGAUGACGGGUAACGGGGAGUUAGGGCUCGACUCCGGAGAACAAGCCUGAGAAACGGCUAGUAGGACUAAGGUCUGCAGCAGGCGCGAAACUUACACAAUGCUAGAUUACAAUUCAUAGCGAUGUAGUGAAGAAAAAUAACGAUGUAUUGGUCUUUUAACAGACUAGUACAAUUGGAAUGAGACGACUUUAAAUCAGUUAGUCGAGUAACAAAUGGAGGGCAAGUCUGGUGCCAGCAGCCGCGGUAAUUCCAGCUCCAUUAGCAUACAUUAAAGUUGUUGCGGUUAAAACGCUCGUAGUUGAAUUUUUAGCGGUCUCCCAUGAGUGGCGGUCGUUAAGGGUGUAGACUUCGGUCUAUCACCUGAUCGUCUUACUUCACUAGGAGGCCGUUGUUUCGUCACUUAAUCGAGUGCGAAGCGGGGUAUGUUUGCUUAGGUAAGUUCGCUUACCAACAAUCGUACCACCUUUACCUUGAGAAAAUUAGAGUGCUCAGAGCAGGCAGUUGGGAUCGAAAGGUUCCUUUAUGCUUGAAUAAUGUUGCAUGGAAUAAUAGAAUACGGCCUCGGUUCUAUUCUGUUGGUCUUAUAGAACAACAAACAAGUUGGUUGUGGCAUCAAAUAGUUUUUGGUUGGUUGUGAUUGUAGUCUACAGCUUGUUGUCUAGAGCCUCAAAACUUUAGUACCUUCUGUACUCAAUCAUCAAAGCAAUCGCCAUAUAUAAACUAGCCUACCAGCCAACUGAGGCAAUGGUUAAAAGAAAUAGUCGCGGCGGCAUCAGUACUGCAUCGUGAGAGGUGAAAUUCUUAGACCGAUGCAAGACUAACUGAAGCGAAAGCGUUUGCCGAGGAUAUUUUCAUUAAUCAAGAACGAAAGUUAGAGGUUCGAAGGCGAUCAGAUACCGCCCUAGUUCUAACCAUAAACGUUGCCAACUAGCAAUUGGGUUGCGAUUCCUUUAAUUGAAGGCCUAAAAAACCUUCAAUCAUUAUGAUCCACCCAGCGGCUCUCGUAGGGAAACCAAAGUGUUUGGGUUCCGGGGGAAGUAUGAUUGCAAAGUUGAAACUUAAAGGAAUUGACGGAAGGGCACCACCAGGAGUGGAGCCUGCGGCUUAAUUUGACUCAACACGGGGAAACUUACUAGAUUAAAACUCUGGAAUGAUUGACAGAUUGAUAGCUCUUUCUUGAUUCAGAGGAUGGUGGUGCAUGGCCGUUCUUGAUUCGUAUUCCGAAACGUCUGCUUAAUUGCGAUAACGAGUGAGACCUCAUCCAACUAACUAGUCACUUUGUGCGCUGUGGAACGCAAAAGUUUCAUUAGGUCCACCUUGUUUGUUUGACGUAAAAAAUCAGGCAGGCAAGAGCCUAGUGGAAUGUUCUCUGCUCGCAAGUGGACUUCUUAGAGGGAUAAACGGUGUUUUAGCCGUAAGAAACGAG